rnacentral:rRNA from 1 species
AUCACUCCUACGGGAGGCAGCAGUGGGGAAUCUUAGACAAUGGGGGCAACCCUGAUCUAGCCAUGCCGCGUGAGUGAUGAAGGCCUUAGGGUCGUAAAGCUCCUUUCGCCAGGGAUGAUAAUGACAGUACCUGGUAAAGAAACCCCGGCUAACUCCGUGCCAGCAGCCGCGGUAAUACGGAGGGUGCGAGCGUUAAUCGGAAUUACUGGGCGUAAAGCGCAUGCAGGUGGUUUGUUAAGUCAGAUGUGAAAGCCCGGGGCUCAACCUCGGAAUUGCAUUUGAAACUGGCAAACUAGAGUACUGUAGAGGGGGGUAGAAUUUCAGGUGUAGCGGUGAAAUGCGUAGAGAUCUGAAGGAAUACCGGUGGCGAAGGCGGCCCCCUGGACAGAUACUGACACUCAGAUGCGAAAGCGUGGGGAGCAAACAGGAUUAGAUACCCUGGUAG